rnacentral:misc_RNA from 1 species
GAACCUCAUGCUAAAAGGUAUGUGACAUAUGCACUGUUUUUUCCCCAGUAAGUGUUUGUUUAAAUCUCUAAAAUUUCGAGUUAUCUUUGUCAAUUUCGUCUUAAAGAUAUUUUAUUAAAUUACAGUCCGCUCAAUUAGUUCAUCAUUAAACAUUUGUUCCUUCGGCCGGAUCCGUUGAAAAGUUACCUAUUUUUAGUAAAAUAUCAAAUUUGUCGUGUCGUAAUAUUUUUCUAAUAAAUUGGUGGGUAAAACUUUUAAUUCUCGAUUCGGUUAAUGGCUGACCGGAAGUGUGACUUUUAUAGUAGAAUUUAGGUUGGUAGCAGUGUGACAGUUCGUUCAAUCCGCUCAUCUCGUUCGGUCUUAGUCUAUGCUUUGGUGUAUGGCAACAAUUCGGUUGUCAUCUCAUCUGUCAUUGUCAAAGUCAACAAGUUAAUUUUAUUGAGUAACGUAAACUGUUUAUUUAUAUUUUCGUUCUCGUUUUUCGAUAAAUCAACAGUGAUUAUUACGUGAAAAAUGUCGGACAUUGAUGUGAGCAAUAGAGACGUUGACAUGGAUAGGGUUGAACGCAAUUACGCGGUUAUGCGUGCUAGUCACAUUAUCAAAGUGGACAGGAAGAAAGCUCUGCUCCAAGAACAGUUCUGGGC